UUCUAAAGGCCUGCGAACCACACGGUCAGGUUAAUCGUGGAAACGGACCUCCCUCUCAGCACCAAUUCUCUGGAUUAGUUCAUCUUCUUGAUGCUGUGUCCGAAUACUCAACAAGAGCAACAUACAGCAGGGUUUAUUUUGGCAGACAGAUUGAGGGUACAGUCCAUCAUGGCAAAAAGGCACAGAAGCAAGAGCGUGGGGUGGCUGGUCCGUGGUGUCUGCAGUCAGGAAGCUAAGAGUUCUUUUGUAUGAAAAUAAAUGAAAGGAGAACCUAAGGCAUAGAAGUCUGAAAGUCAUGAGAGAAGAAGCUCCCCCAUCCUGGGAUUCCUGACACAGAUGCUCAAAACUGGCAGCUUCGCCUGGAGAAGGGCGGCAGGAGGGAGCAGAGCUCCCACAGGCUCCCGGUGGCAACUGUGCUGACUCUUCCUGAAGUCCUCCCAUGCCCUCCCAACCAGCCUCCAGAACCCAGCAUCCUCCCCGAGCUGUCUCGGGCCCCUGCUAAACCGUCUGCUGGCCACCCACGAAGUAUCAGAGCACCUUGGCAAGUCUACAGGCACAGAUCACUUCAAGGGCAGCGGUGAACGGUGCUCUGUGAGCUCCUACUAUGAUUCUAGAUUCAUCCCUUAUUCCUUUUUUAAAAAUCUGUCCCCAAGAAAACAUGUGACUACCCUAUGAGAAUGUGCAAUGUCCCCAACAAUUUGCUGGGGGAAGGGCACGUGAUGUCUUUGUCCAGUA